rnacentral:rRNA from 1 species
GGAUGAACGCUGGCGGCGUGCUUAACACAUGCAAGUCGAACGGAAAGGCCCAAGCUUGCUUGGGUACUCGAGUGGCGAACGGGUGAGUAACACGUGGGUGAUCUGCCCUGCACUUCGGGAUAAGCCUGGGAAACUGGGUCUAAUACCGGAUAGGACCACAUUUUGGAUGGUGUGGUGGAAAGUUUUUCGGUGUGGGAUGAGCUCGCGGCCUAUCAGCUUGUUGGUGGGGUAAUGGCCUACCAAGGCGUCGACGGGUAGCCGGCCUGAGAGGGUGUACGGCCACAUUGGGACUGGGAUACGGCCCAGACUCCUACGGGAGGCAGCAGUGGGGAAUAAUGCACAAUGGGGGCAAGCCUGAUGGAGCGGCGCCGGGUGGGGGAUGACGGCCUUCGGGUUGUAAACUCCUUUCGCUAGGGACGAAGCGCAAGUGACGGUACCUGGAGAAGAAGCACCGGCUAACUACGUG